rnacentral:rRNA from 1 species
UAAACUAGGAUUAGAUACCCUAUUAUUGAAAAUGUAAAAAUGUAAUACUUGAGUAGUAGUAGUUAUGUUCUUGAAAUUUAAAGAAUUUGGCGGUAUUUUAGUCUUUUCAGAGGAACCUGUUCUAUAAUUGAUAUUCCACGAUUAAUUUUACUUAUUUUAUUAGUUUAUAUAUCGUCGUAGUUUGAAUGUUUUAUAAGAAUAAUAAUAUUCAAUAUUUAUAAUUAUAUAAUAAAUCAGAUCAAGGUGUAGCUUAUAGAUAAGGAGAAAUGGGUUACAAUAAAUUUAUUUGCAGUUAAAGUAUUUAAUAUAUUUUAUAAGAAGAGAGUUUGAAAGUAAUAUAAUUUAUUUAAAUUAUGAUGAUUAUAGCUCUAUAAUAUGCACAUAUCGUCCCGUCGUACCCAUAAAUGGCCCCGUGUAUUUUGACCGUGCAAAGGUAGAUCAUUAAAAGGUUUUUUAAUUGAAAGCUGGAAUGAAAGGUUAGACCAGUAAAGAUAGUACUGUCUUAAAUUAAUUUAAAUUAGAACUUUAUUUUUAAGUUAAAAAGCUUAAUUAUAUUUAAAAGACGAGAAGACCCUGUAGAGUUUUAUAGUAUAUAAUAUUAAAUUAAUUUAUAGUUAAAGUUUAGCUUAAUAUUAUUAUCUAUUUUGUUGGGGUGACAGAAAAAUUGAAUUAACUUUUUUUUAAUUGAUUUAUUAAUAAAUAUUUUUAUGAUCCAUUUUUAAUGAUUAAAAGAUUAAAUUACCUCAGGGAUAACAGCGUAAUUAUUUUUAAGAGUUCUUAUCGAAAAAAUAGGUUGCGACCUCGAUGUUGGAUUAAAAUUAACUUUUGGUGAAGAAGCUAAAAGGUUAGGUCUGUUCGACCUUUAAAAUUUUACAUGAUCUGAGUUCAAACCGGAGAU